CCCUUAGAUGUUCGGAGCUGCACGCGCGCUACACUGAAGGAAGCAGCGUGUUAGAGCACCUGGCUUGAAAGAGCUGGGUAAUCCGGUGAAUGUCCUUCGUGAUUGGGAUAGGGACUUGUAAUUAUUUCCCUUGAACGAGGAAUACCUAGUAAGUGCGAGUCAUCAGCUUGCGCUGACUUACGUCCCUGCCCCUUGUACACACCGCCCGUCGCUCCUACCGAUUGGGUGUGCUGGUGAAAUGUUCGGAUCGGCCGUUUGUCGCGGUUUCCGCGUCAUGUGGCUGAGAAGUUCAUUAAACCCUCCCACCUAGAGGAAGGAGAAGUCGUAACA
rnacentral:rRNA from 1 species